UACGUAGGGGGCGAGCGUUGUCCGGAUUUAUUGGGCGUAAAGAGCGUGUAGGCGGCCAGGUAGGUCCGUUGUGAAAACUCGAGGCUCAACCUCGAGACGUCGAUGGAAACCAUCUGGCUAGAGUCCGGAAGAGGAGAGUGGAAUUCCUGGUGUAGCGGUGAAAUGCGCAGAUAUCAGGAGGAACACCAAUGGCGAAGGCAGCUCGCUGGGACGGUACUGACGCUGAGACGCGAAAGCGUGGGGAGCAAACAGG
rnacentral:rRNA from 1 species